rnacentral:rRNA from 1 species
GAUGAACGCUGGCGGCGUGCCUAAUACAUGCAAGUCGAGCGGAAAGGCCCUUCGGGGUACUCGAGCGGCGGACGGCUGAGUAACGCGUAGGAACGUACCCCAAAGUGAGGGAUAACUGCUCGAAAGAGUAGCUAAUACCGCAUGUGCUCUUCGGAGUAAAGCUUCGGCGCUUUGGGAAAGGCCUGCGUCCUAUUAGCUAGUUGGUGAGGUAAUUGCUCACCAAGGCGACGAUAGGUAGCUGGUCUGAGAGGAUGAUCAGCCAGACUGGGACUGAGACACGGCCCAGACUCCUACGGGAGGCAGCAGUAGGGAAGUUUCCACAAUGGGCGAAAGCCUGAUGGAGCAACGCCGCGUGCAGGAUGAAUGCCUUCGGGUUGUAAACUGCUUUUAUAGGUGAAGAAUAUGACGGUAACCUAUGAAUAAGGAUCGGCUAACUCCGUGCCAGCAGCCGCCGCAG